rnacentral:lncRNA from 1 species
AAUUAUCUAGAUUUCUCUUCAUUUUUCUGAAUUCUCAUCAGCUAAAACACCAUGGAAGGGCUUCUUCAAGCUGGUUCUUCAUAUUUUUAUUACAAGUAAGUUCAAUUCUUGACUAUUUCUUGAAAUUUUUGUAUUUUUAUGACCUUUACAACUAGGCCCACUUGUUAAAUUCAUUAGUUUUUGAUUUUAUGAAAGAAGUUGAAAGUUGAUAUGAAUAUGUUCUGGAAUUAUAUGAUGAUUUAGCAUGAAAUUAGAGCUUUAAAUUGUUCAUAUGCUGAUUUUAUUGAAAGAAUUAAAUAGAAAGUGAAUGUUUGGGACUUAAUAGUAAAAGAGUUUGAAGAUAGAGUUAUAUGUGGAAAUUCUGAAUUUCAAUAGUUGUGUAACAACUUAUAAUAUCUAGGUAAAGUAUUAAUUGAGAAAAUUAGAUUAAUUGAGGGGUUAAUUGAGAAAGGACCGAAUUGUAUAAACUGUGAAAUUUGGGGCAAAAUGGAAAUCAACAUUUUGCACUAAAGCUGUUUUGGACAGCAGCAGUAGUGUAACUUUGAAAAAUCACAAAAAAUUGUAGAGAUUGAAUUAUAGGAUGAAUAAAAUAUGAAACUAAAGCUUAUUGAGUCUAGUUUCUUAUAAAAGAAACGGUGUGAGUAAUGGAAUUGUAAAUCAUGAGAUAUAAUAGAUUUUGUGAGACAAGGUCAGAAUGAAUUCGGAUUCCCCUGUUCUGACUUUGGGAAAUCAUUAAAAAUUGUACAAAAAUGAUUAUGAGUUAUAAUUUAUAUGGUUAGAAUCCUUAAUGAGUCUAUUUUUAGAAGAAAUAAACAAAAACAUCAUCCGAAUUCUGUACAAUGAGAUAAUUAAUUUUUAGUGAAGAGUGGUCGGAACUGUCAGACAGCGAAAUAGGGGAAAAUUUAAAGAAUAAACUGUACUAUUUGGCUAAACCAAAAAUUCUGAAAAUUUUAUGGUAUGAAGAUAUGCGAGUCUAGUUUCAGAGAAAAUUAACGGAUCUUAAUUUGGAACUCUGUAGCUCCGGAUAAAAAUAAUUUAGUGACUCUGACUCAGACGGACAGCUUGAAUUUUACAUACAAGAAAAUAGUGAAAGUAUGAAUAAUGUUGUUUAAAUGUGUUAUACACAUUAAGGAUGAGGAAUGGAGAGGAGGUGGAGGAAAAAUUUGGAAAUAUAUGAAUGAUUUGUGUAUAAUUGGUCAUAUGUUUGAUUAUAAUUGAUAGAUGAUGAAAUAGAAAUGAUGCUUACAUUUGUGCAUUAUUGGACAUGGUUUAAGCUCAUGUGUGAAAAUAAAGUUUCAUAGCAUGUGUGUCUGGUAUAUUCGGUAUAUGAUUUGGCAUGAAAUAAUGUCAUGAAUGGUUUAUCAUGUGGUUAGUUCCAAAAAGAGUUAUGUUUCAAUACACUAACUUGCAACUAUGGUUGAAUGAUAUGUUUAUAUUUUGUGUGAUGUGCAUAGGAAACAAGUGUGGAAAGAUAAUGAAAUAGUAAGUUCAUAUGGCUGAAAUUUAAUGGUUAAAUGUUAAUUUCAUGAAUUAUAUAAUGUAUGAUGAAAUAUUUUUAUUGUUGAAAUGAGAAUAAAAUAAAAGUGCGAAAGCUGAAUAAAUGAUCAAAUUGAGCGGAACGCCGGAUUUGAGUACUUCUGAUCAAGUGACAAAGUGAUAAGUGGUAGCUUUAGCUACACUUAUCUGAUCAAGAACAAGUGAUAAGCGGUGACAAAGUGAUAAGUGGUAGCAUUAGCUACACUUAUCUGAUCAAGUGAGAAAGUGAUAAGUGGUAGCCUUAGCUACACUUAUCUGAUCAAGUGACAAAGUGAUAAGUGUUAGCCUUAGCUACACUUAUCUGAUCAAGUGAGAAAGUGAUAAGUGGUAGCCUAGCUACACUUAUCUGAUCAGGGACAAGUGAUAAGUGAUCAUAUGUAAGACCAUAGUUAUACUAUGGCAAAGUGAAAGUGAAGUACUCAAUUUUCCGUAACCGUUCCCUAAUUUGAUUAAGGAUGGUAAGUGACAAUGGGCCCAAAAGAAUUAAAGUAAAUGGAUAAGUGGUAGUGUAUUUAUAUCAGGACGAUGUUGUUAUUCAAGCUAAAGUGAUAUUUUCAUUGCAAAAUUGAGAAUUUCAUAAAUGUGUUAUUGAAUGGUGUAAUGAAUAAACAUCGAGUUAAAUGGUAAAUACGUAUUAGUGUUGAACUUGAUGUCAUUGAAUUGUACGUGAAUUAAAUGGAAAUUGCUAGUGAUAUGAUCUAAAUUGUGAGCAUGAGAAAUUGCGAAUUGAAGGAAAUGGAAAUGAAGCAUUGAAUUGCAUGAGAAUGUAUCGGGUCUCGUAAGCCCUAAUUAUUAUGAUUAUAACAUUUUGAGGAUAUACUGUGAAAAGUUAUAGGAGCAUGUUAAUUAUUUUGAAAGUUUUAAUUUAGAUGAAAUUUUAUAACUCGGUUAAAUACGUUUACAAGUGCAUGUGUUUUGGUAAUGCCUCGUACCCUAUUCCGGUAUUGAAUACGGGUAAGGGGUGUUACACUCUUUGGGUCCUUGAUAAUUUUGAAAAUGUGCAAAUUGGUACCUUUCAAAGAGAAAAUAAAAAAAAAUCAAAAUAAUAUUCUAAAAUUCAAAUAUUUAUACAAUAUUGUUUUCCAAAGUUUUAUAAAUAUAUAUAAAUUAAAAAGAUUAUUAAAAAUCUAAAAAUAUAUAAAAAUGUUAAUUUAUAUAUUUUUAAAAUUUUCAAGAUAUAAAUUUGAGGCAUUAAAUAAAUAAAUUAUCAAUUCAAGUUUAUCAUACUAAUUACUUUAUGUUGUUUUAAAAGAAUUUAAUCAUAUUGUCAACGAGAUUUUAAUAUAACCAAUUUAAUUUUUUUUAAUUUAACUUAGAACAAAUUUAUUCGAUUCGACUCAAUUCGAAUUGCAUUUCACUCGAUUUAAUAAAAAAAUUAAUCAAUUUAAAAAAAUAAAAUAAAACUCGUUUACUCGACUAACUUAAAAUUUCUUAAUGUUCACCCUUAUUAGGAAGGCACAUAUAUGAGUGACAAAAGCUUGAAUAUCAACUUAUGAGCAUAGUCUAAUGGUUGGCAUGGUUAUUAGUUGCUCUUAAAAGUCGCAUAAUCUAUUGAUUGACAUUGUUAUUGGUUGACUUAUAAUAGUGAGGAAUAGUGUAAUGGUUGUUCAUUUCGUUACUUAGCCAUAAGUUUAGGAUUCUUACUCAUUUUGAAGAGCACCGACCAAAAAAUUCACAUAGCUAGCGAGAGUUGACUUUGGUGCUAUAUCACUAGAUUUUUAGCCUCCUAAUGAUUUCCCAUCUCCUGUUUAGAGAGACGCAUUAAAAGUGUAAUUAUACACAAUAGGACAACAAUAUAUAGUGGAUAUUCUAACAGGAAAAGUCUCAUCUUUCUAGAAUGUCUCUCCCGCUGCCGGAGUAAAUGCACCAUUGCCAGCAGCGAAGUAAAGCACGCAUCGGUUUCCGGUGCCAUGUUUAAUGUGUCCACAAGCAUUAUAGGUUCUGGAAUUACAUUGUCAUAAUUCCAGUCAUUGUUACAGCUUUCACAUUCCAUUUCAAUGCUGAAGAACACUUUGACCUCAUAAAUUGUUGUUGUAUACUUGUAUGGAAGUUACGUUUAUGCCUCGGUUUCGAGAUGGAUAAACUUUCCUAUAUAAUAUCAACGGUCCGAAUAUCAUCGGUCAUAUAUGCUGCCAUCUACUUCACUAUAGAAAAGCCGCACUACACAGUCUAAUACUUGAGUGAACAUGUAAAGGAAACAAAGCCAAUGCCACAAUGUGUGAAAAUUUGAAUUUCAUUGUCGAAUCCUUUUUUUUAAAUCAAUGGUUUUAAAACAAACGAAAAAUGAGAGUCGCUACCAAUCCUUUUUUACUUAGGUGUGAUCGGAUCUCCUCGUAAUUCAAUCAUUUUAAUAAAAGUUUAAAUUUACUAAAACGAUGAUUCUUGGUCUACAAAAUCCAGAAAAUGGGUUCGAGAGUCGGUUACGCACGAGGAAG